rnacentral:lncRNA from 1 species
AUGGCUGAGUGGAGACACUUUGAGAAGAAAGGGGCGGGUUGGCUCAGGUUUCCAAAUCGGGUUUCACGGAAGUUUGAGGCCGCACAGGCACAGAGGUGGGUCUUGAAAAUGUGGCCAGCAGCAGAGGGGAUGAAUACACGCAAACCCCUUCACUCUGUAGCUGAAAACAGACGUACUCUGUCCUGUGGGUCUCCAGCCACCAGGAAACCGUCCCGUUCAGUUCAGCGUCAUGACGAGAGGUCUGGCCCUAAACAGAGCUGCGUCUGCUUCCUCUCCGCACAUUCACCACGCAGAGGACUCUGAGGAAGCCGACGAACCUGCUGUGCCUCAGUUUCCCUGUUUGCUGGGGGGAAUAAUAGUGACUGCUGUGUGAAAUUAAAAGACAUGACGUGUAUAAACCUGCAAACCCCUCGUGCAUUCAGAUCCUGUUUAUUGAGUACCCGUUGUGUUCUAGGCGCUCUCCCAGCCACUGGGGGACACUGUUCAUUCUUCACGAGGUGUUUCUAGAGAGCCGCUCGCUGUACGGGUAACGGCUCGCACUGUGGUCCUGCCCCGGAGCUCGCACUGUAGCGGAGGCAGGUGGUCACUGGACAAGACACAACAAGCAAACAUCUGGCAAGUUAGAUGCCGGCAGGUGCUUUGGGAAAAAAUUCGAAGGAGGGAACAGGGGUAAGAGAGAUGGCUGGGGGAGGGGCAAGGGGGUGGGGACGCGGCAAACUUCCCACUACGGAAUCUUGACCUUGGUGAUGCGUCAUGACCAUGGCCGAGCGCGUCCUCCAGGACCCAGCCCGGCCCUCCACGGAUCACGUCUGCAGUGGUUGCAGGUGGUGCUUUGCUGUGGAGGGAGACGCUUUGAACUCUACGCCCUGCAUGCCUGCCGGGUCACUGGACGCUGACUCAGUUUACAGACAGCUGUGCCCACACGGGCUCGGGGAAGGGGCCAGGCUUCUGUCUUACACCACGGAUCUGGAUCUCUUCCUUCUCCCGGGGAAGGCCGUGACCAAGGCUGGGCGUUCCCAGGAUGGGAGAGAGUGAUUCUCCUGCCUAUUUCUAAAUCUGCACAAUUUGAGAACCGGAGUAGACCCAGGUCCAGGGAGAAUAGAACGCUCACUUGGUGAGUGGCGUAGAAGCACAGACUUUCUAGAAAAGGAAAACAAUCCGUUAUCUCCCCUGAUGGAUGUGACAGACAGUCUCUACUAAAUAUGGCAUCAAAUAAACCGAAGACAAAUCUCCGUGCUGAGCUUCUG